CUGAGCCAGAGCUGCUGGGAAGUCUCCAGACCCGACCUGGACAAGCCUCUGGAGAGUAGUCGGAAAGGCCAGAGCCCGCGAGCUUGGAUCCUCUGAAGGGCUUCUCCUGUGUCUACUGUUUCUCAAAAUAAUCCGUAUGCCAAAGAGGCUUGUUCUGGGGUGGCAUAUUCUGUGCAAGACCCGGAGGACACAGACGUGAAACCCCCGUCCCCGCCCCUGAAGGACUCCAUCGUUCCAAGGGCAGACAACGAGAAACACGACAAGCAUGGAAAAAUUACUCCUGUCUUCCAAAUCCUCCAGAAACUUCCUUCCCACUAAGUGUUAACAACAUAAGAAAAGGAGCAAUGUUUUAAGCUACAAGCAAUCAUGGAGGAAUUCCAGGCUUCCCAGUAAAGGAACUGAGAGUCGACUCCUUGCCCACUUCAGGCUGGUUGAGACCACCAACUCAUCAACUGGGCCUGUGAGGAUGACUGAUAAGUGACCCUUCAAUGUCAAGGAGCUGACAACUCCGCCCCCAGAUCAUGGGACCGUUGCCA
rnacentral:lncRNA from 1 species